CCAAAACUAUUUAGCUAGAGUGUGGGAGAGGAAGAUGGAAUUAGUUGUGUAGGGGUAAAAUCCGUAGAGAUAACUAGGAAUACCAAAAGCGAAGGCAAUCUUCUGGAACACUACUGACGCUGAGGCGCGAAGGCGUGGGGAGCAAACAGGAUUAGAUACCCUGGUAGUCCACGCCCUAAACGAUGAAUGUUAGUCGUCGGGUAGCUAGUCUAUUCGGUGAUGCAGCUAACGCAUUAAACAUUCCGCCUGGGGAGUACGGUCGCAAGAUUAAAACUCAAAGGAAUAGACGGGGACCCGCACAAGUGGUGGAGCAUGUGGUUUAAUUCGAAGAUACGCGAAGAACCUUACCUAGCCUUGACAUUGAAGAAAUAGACCAGAGAUGGACUAGUGCCCUUCGGGGAAUCUGAAAACAGGUGCUGCACGGCUGUCGUCAGCUCGUGUCGUGAGAUGUUGGGUUAAGUCCCGCAACGAGCGCAACCCUCGUCAAUAGUUGCCAGCAGGUUAAGCUGGGCACUCUAUUGAGACUGCCUUCGCAAGGAGGAGGAAGGUGAGGACGACGUCAAGUCAUCAUGGCCCUUAUGGCUAGGGCUACACACGUGCUACAAUGGGGCGUACAGAGUGUUGCGAUACCGCGAGGUGGAGCCAAUCACUUAAAGCGUCUCUCAGUUCGGAUUGGAGUCUGCAACUCGACUCCAUGAAGCUGGAAUCACUAGUAAUCGUAGAUCAGCAAUGCUACGGUGAAUACGUUCCCGGGUCUUGUACUCACCGCCCGUCACACCAUGGGAGUUGAUUUCGCCCGAAAUUGGGAAGCUAACCUUCGGGAGGCUACCACUUACGGCGGAAUUAGCGACUGGGGUGAAGUCGUAACAAGGUAACC
rnacentral:rRNA from 1 species